CGUCGGACGAUCAUUCCGCACGCAACUAAAUUGCCGCAACGCACGCAUUGUCUUUAAUUUAAAAUCGGUUAUAUUUUCCCCGCAGUUUACGUCCGAUUUUUGCGAUGGAUGCAUUAAUUUGUGAAGUGCAAAAAAGAAAUGUUUUGUGGAAUAAAAGAAAUCCGCCAUACAAGGAUCGGUUAAUUGUUGAAAAGGAAUGGUCUAACAAUAUUGGAUUUUCAAAGAAAGAAGCUAACAAGAAAUGGAGAAACUUGCGCGAUCAGUUUGCAAAAGAAUUGAAGAAAGUUCGUAAACCUCAUUCAGGUGAUGCUGCAUAUGAGAAAUAUACAGGCAAAUGGCAGUAUUUUUGUAACUACAGUUCAUGAAGUGCAUAGUAGCUCCUAGAAUUACGGAAGGAAAUGUUCCUCACAAUGCGGUAUUGGAAAAAUUGCAGACCUCGUUAGUUGACAAUGAAGAUACUGAGGCGCACAUCUCGGACGAAAAUUGGACUCCAAGUGCUUCAUCGUCACCAGUAAGUGGCACUGUAGAUGAUUCGCAAGUGGUUGCCACUGUCAUUGUUCCAUUCGCAGUUGCUAAGCAUGGCGUUUCGCAAGGCAAUGCCAACAAUGAUGGCUCACAACAAACAGAGCCUGUACACAGGCUGAAUCGAAAAAUAUGCCGUCUUCGUCCAAGAAAAACCAUUCUCGUUGAAAGAGAAAGAUGGUACGCGAAGAGAAUAUUGAUAUGGAAGAAAAGUUACUUAAUAUAGAAACUAAAAAAAUCGCUUUGCUUCAGCAGAGCACCAGAAUACCGGAAGACGAGAAUUCUCUAUUUUUAAGAUCUCUACUGCUAUAUUUCCAAAAAAUGAAAACAAAUUGCAAGAGGUAUUAAUCCAAGAAAUGUCACCGCAGACUACCAGUAGUACAAGUGUUGGUACAUAUUUCCCUGCUCAACCAUCAACUGUGCCAUCAGGGCCCUCCUCUUAUUUGAGUAUGUCUAUGUCUUCGCCUGCUUCCAACUUUCCUACUCUGUUUUCAAAUAGUGCAUAUAUAACGAAGGAAAUUUCGAAUAAGACUUUUUUUUAAAUAUUUAAAGAGUAAGUUAUACCUUAAUACAUUUAACUUCAAUAAAAACAAUUAAAAUGUA